rnacentral:lncRNA from 1 species
CAGAACUCCUCAAGACCAUAAAAGGUCAUACCCAGGCCUGUUUAGAUGUUAUACCUCAGAGCCUUCCAGCAUCAACAUCAGUAAAUCCUUUUGUUAAAAUUCAAACAGACUUAAAACAAAAGUUUCCAAACUUAACUGAAACAGAACUCUUAGUUAAAACUAUGGAUUAUAUGAAGACACAAUUCUUACAAUCCUUAGUCCCGGAUGAUGCCUCCAUGAA